AUAUAUACCUGGCACCGGGUUCAGGGUGAUCAAAAAUGCUCUGACUCAGGAUGGAGACUCACCAUCGCACCUCGGUGAGUUGAAACUCGCGACGAACCCUAAUGGGAUGCGGUCGGACGUGUAGUUUAUGUCAGUGGGGGAGAUUAUUCCAA
rnacentral:snRNA from 1 species